AACGAACGCUGGCGGCAUGCCUAACACAUGCAAGUCGAACGAGGCCUUCGGGUCUAGUGGCGCACGGGUGCGUAACGCGUGGGAACCUGCCCUUAGGUUCGGAAUAACUCCCCGAAAGGGGUGCUAAUACCGGAUAAUGUCUUCGGACCAAAGAUUUAUCGCCUUUGGAUGGGCCCGCGUUGGAUUAGCUAGUUGGUAGGGUAAAAGCCUACCAAGGCGACGAUCCAUAGCCGGUCUGAGAGGAUGAUCAGCCACACUGGGACUGAGACACGGCCCAGACUCCUACGGGAGGCAGCAGUGGGGAAUAUUGGACAAUGGGCGAAAGCCUGAUCCAGCAAUGCCGCGUGAGUGAUGAAGGCCUUAGGGUUGUAAAGCUCUUUUACCCGGGAUGAUAAUGACAGUACCGGGAGAAUAAGCUCCGGCUAACUCCGUG
rnacentral:rRNA from 1 species